UUUCUUUUGUGUAACUACUCUGAGGUAGAUCCUCUGGGAGAGAUAUUUCAGUGCAAGCAUCUGCUUGAGAAUAUUGACAAAUUGCUCAUGGAAACUUGAUUUAGAGUUCUCUGCAAUAAGCCAGACACGCGCCUGUUGCUAAAAGUGUUUGCCUACACUGUUUAGAUUUUUCAGUGGAACAGAUCAUACAUACCAGGGAAAUGUUCCCUCCAGCUCCACUUGUCUGGGGAUUACAGAACCUGUCAUACUAAAUACCUUUCAUGGCUGAAAGAUACUUAAUUACUGUCCCAGCUGAAAGUAGGAGUAACUGAAUACCUCCACAAGAUCUUUUUGUUGUGUGUUACUUCGGAAGGUCGUGUACAGCACCAGCAGCAACAUCACUGAAACCAGAGCGAUGCAGACCAGGACUAAGAAAGCUGGGUGGAUCCCUAGGAAAGAGCACAAGGACACAUUCCUGGAGUGCUACAAUACCCUGAGAAGGGGCAACAGUGAGAAGGAAAAGAUGGAGAAGUUUUAGGAGAAGCUCUUGUAUUUAUAGAACAAAGGAGAUGUGUGUAAGAGGGAAUAAAUUUUCCAUCCUGGAUUACUCCAUGCCUUUCUGAAAUCUCAGAAGAGGGAAAAGGUCUUUCCCAUUUUACCUGCCUUUUCUCUUGAACAACCUAAAAAACCCCACCCCGUUACUUGUGUUAGCCCUGACUCCCCAGGGUGUUUGUACCUCUGUGGUACUCCAAGAGGAUAGGAAAGGAUAGGAUUAUUUCACUUUCACAGCAGCCUCCAGGACAGAGGAUUUAGCCCUGAAUGCACAUCAGUGCCUUCUGGAGUGAUCUGCCCUGUCUGUACACAAGUGCUGCCCAUGGUUUGCAGCAUCGUGACGCCGUUCUCCACUCUGAUGCUGAGGCAAUACUGCCCCGCGUCUCUGAAGGUGUGGCUGAGAUUGUAGCAGGAGCCACUGAUCUCCACCAGAUGGCAUUUGUCACCUUCAAGUGGAAUGCACUCGGAUUUUAUAAGCCAGCAUAGUGCCAGUGGUGGGCUGAAAGGAAAAGAGCAAAAAGACACGGCAGAAAAAAGUGAAAAAUUCACGAAAAUUUCAGAAAUCAUUGUCUGUGCUACUGAAGCACACCCAAGACUUUUCUAAUUAAAAAAACCCUGCAGCUGAAACUGGAAAGAACGUAAGAUGAGCUCUGGACAAUGGGCUAACAGCUGGAAAAGGUAAAUUAAUUGCAAGGACCGCAGCAUUCCCUUACAAUAACAAAAGGUUUUUAUUUGUUAUCAAGCGAUCUAGUGCAACCCACUUUAUGUCCAUAUGGCUUCUCACCAUGUCUAAUUGAUGCUUUUCAUUUACAGUUCCAGGCCUCUGUUCCAACUGAUGCUGCCCAAACUCACCUUAUGCACCAUGGACUUUGAUUCUGACAUCAGAUAGAGCUUUUCUUUGCCCCAUUUUAUUAGUUUUUGUUUCUUAUCUCUUUAUGACAUUCUCUGCUAAAGAAAGCAGCAUGUUUAUGUGCUUAGCUCAUUUUCCAGCUUUGUUUUUGAUAACCCAUCUCUCAAGCCUUUGUCAUUGCUUCUCUAUCUUAAACUCCUAUUGCAUCAGCCCCAGUCCUGUGACUAGGAGGUUACCAAGCCUGCUUUUAGUGAUCUCAGGUUUGUCUGUAAUGGUUUUUGCUGUUUUCACGUUUUGGGGAAUGAAGUCUUGUUUGCUACUUACGUGCCAUUGAUAUGAAGAGAUAAAUUCAAGUUUUCCAUUACGUGAGUUUCUCUGGAGCCCACUAUGUUAAUACUUUUAACAGCAUCUGAAAAGAAAUAAAAAGGCAGCAUGUCACACUCCACGUGGAAACUGGAAACUCACUGGUUUUCCAGUGAAGGUUUGUUUUCAGUCUUAGCAGAUUUGAGCUCCAUCAACCACACAAAUAAUAAUAUUUGUCUCAUACCCCAAAAGGAAACCUACCAGUAGAGAUGUUGUAAGUUUUCUGAAUUUUUGAUGAUUUCUUUUUAAUAUAUAAUCAACUACUUUAUUAAUUCUUUACAUUUUUCCUUCCAUGUUUAUUUACUCCUGAAGCUGACCAAAUUAAUGAGACUUUCCUAAUGCCUGUUUUAACUUAUGUAUUGUUUAGGAUUAGCUGGUAUAAACUGACAAAUCCAGCAAAAGUCAUGGUCAACAUUUUAUUGUUUUAAGUGUAUGUGAGAUUUUCAAAAAGACAGUAAAUUUUUGUUGUAGGUUAAAAAGAAACAGAAGAUUUUAUAUGUUUCCCCCCGUUUUUCUGCACUAGAACAACACAAAGUCCAUUUUGCAAUGGAAACACUUCAUUGAUUCAUGUUGGCCAGUUCUCGCAUGUGAAACUGUGCUGAAGUUGUGUUACCACUUUAAAGCUAGAUUUUAUCUGUACAUAUAUAUCAAGUUGUGAAUUGAAUAUGCAAAAUGUUUUUUGAUUACCCAAGAGCUCCAGAGCUGUGGUAAAAUCACCAGUUUUCUGCAUAAUUUCUCUUUCGUGGAUGAUGCUUCCAAUUUGCUCCCAUUCAGCUACGACUUUCAGGUGCACCGUGCGAUUCCCCAUGGAAGAGCAGUUACAGUAGACAAAGGGUUCCUUGGUAAUCUGGUAAACUCUGUGUGAAACAGGAAAAGGUUUAGAAUCCAAAUUGCCUUUUACCAAGUGCUUGCAGAUUUCUGGUUUAAAAUAGGACAAGCUCUAAUAUAUUUUCUUUACAGACUCCAGUCGCUGUGAUUCUAAUUCUGCUUUAUGUCCCUAUCAAUGAGGAUUCAUGUCUAUGGCAUUACCUAUAGAACUACAAUCACCAUAAGAUCUGGAGUAAACUUGUGCAUUUUUAAUGAAAGAAACUAAAGAUUAUGCUAAAAGAAUUCACAAAGUGAAAUAGGAAUAGUCAGUAUAUUAAGAAAACAACUUUCAUAGCAGGCAGACUAUAAGUUAACUGAAACUAAGGUGGGGGGGAGAAAGAAAGAAACAAAAUAGUAUUCAAAGACUAAAGCUUACAUCUCACAUCUCUCUUUGCCUAUACAUGUAUUCAUCUUCAAAUAAGAUAAAUAACUGAACGGUUUUUUCCUCCCUACUGCCGUGUGGCUUUACCCAUGGUUUUAUUUCUAAUGGUUCUGAGUGCUGUUCUACCCCUGGUAAAGUGCACCUGCAUGUUAUUUGAGACACUCUCCACUUUCAAAAGCUCCUCACCAAACUGUUGUAUAUUUAUGGAUAGCUGGUCAUGAUAACAGCUCCUUGUUGCCCAACCACUGCUUCCAUUCUCUUUAAGUGCACAAAUUAUUCACAUACACAACACCCACCUGCUAAUGGAGAUCUGCAGGCACAAUGAUGUUUUAAAAUAAUUUACAAUAAGCUGCUUAUUUCAUUUCACUCCACUCAGUUUGGCUCAUCACACACACAGGGUAGUACAUGUAAGCAUAUAUCUGAACAAGAAAUCUAGGUCUUUAAAACAUCAUCAUUUUGUGAGCACCCAGUGAAUUUAGAUUUUCAGAAUUCACCAGGGUGACAUGCCAAGGAUGUACCAACUCACAAAGGCGUAUGCUUUGUCUUGUGAUUUAACUAUGAUUUUUCUCUAGAUGAGCAUCUGAAUCAGACCCAUCUUGAAUACUCCUUAAAGCCAACCAAGUAACCACACCUACCCAUCUCCAAAAUCCCAGUUGUAGACAAAUGAUGCUGACUUGAAGUAAUGACUUGGGUCAUGAAGAGAGAAGGAAAUCCGGGUCACUGUGCCUGUGGAGGAACUAGAACCCCAUGUGACAACUUCACUGUCUUCUAUCUGGGCAAUGGUGAGAUUCCCUGUGAUAAAUUCUGCAGAAUAAUAAGGUGGGAAAAGAAUGACAGUAUAUGUCACUUCCAUAACAUACUUUGUGUGUGUAUCAAAACAUUACUGCUUAAGUUUUUCUGUGUCCUACUCCAAGUGGUUAAGUGUAUUUUAUAUCUAUUAUUCAGUGUUGUUACAUAUGUUAAUGAGGCAGUGAAAUUAAAAUACUCAUUUAGGGUCAUACAGUGGGUCAUGAUAAAACUUCUAAUAGAACUAAGAAAUCUUGGACUGAUUAAGGUCAGUAUAAACUUUUACUCUUGAUGUAAAAACAAGUGGGAUUAACAAUGAGUAUCUAGAUUUAGAACCAAACCACUAUACACACCCUUCAUGUUUGGGGUGCUGGGGUUUAUUUGUUUGUUUAGGGAGGUUUUCUAUAUUGCUGGGUUUUUGUUUUUUAGUUUUUAGCUAUUUCUACAUAAAUUAAAAUUUGACUGUGACGAAGAACAGAGCUCUAUAUAUUGUGAAUACAGAAAGGAUUAAGGUUUGAUGUCUAUGAGAGGUUUUAUGUUGGAAUUUGUUUACGAGACUGAUCUAAAAGAAACACUCUAACCUGUGAAUAAAGAGGUAUUAUGAUGACACGGCA